rnacentral:rRNA from 1 species
ACGGAGGAUGCGAGCGUUAUCCGGAUUUAUUGGGUUUAAAGGGUGCGUAGGCGGGCUGGCAAGUCGGCGGUCAAAUGUCGGGGCUCAACCCCGGCCUGCCGUCGAAACUGCCGGCCUUGAGUGAGCGAGAAGCAGGCGGAAUGCGUGGUGUAGCGGUGAAAUGCAUAGAUAUCACGCAGAACCCCGAUUGCGAAGGCAGCCUGCCGGCGCUCAACUGACGCUGAGGCACGAAAGUGCGGGGAUCGAACAG